UGGGGCUAUGCAUUGCGAGGUGGGAGAGGCGGGGCGAGGUGGGGCGAGGUGGGGUGAGGCGGGGCAAAACGAGGCGUGGCAGGUGAGGUGGGGCCAGGCAGGGUGAGACUAGGUGGGGUGGGGCGAGGCAGGGCAAGGUGGGGCAAGGCAGGGAGGGGUGAGGCGAGGCGGGGUGGUUCAAGGUGUGGCAGGGCAAGUAGGGGCGAGGCGUGGCAGGCGAGGCGGGGCAGGGCUAAGUGAGGCGAGGUAAUGCGGGGCGGGUUGAGACAGGGUGAGGUUGGGUGAGGCGGGUUCAGGCUGGGCGAGGCGGGGCCAGG
ensembl:lncRNA